rnacentral:rRNA from 1 species
AUGAACGCUGGCGGCGUGCCUAAUACAUGCAAGUCGAGCGAACAGACGAGGAGCUUGCUCCUCUGACGUUAGCGGCGGACGGGUGAGUAACACGUGGAUAACCUACCUAUAAGACUGGGAUAACUUCGGGAAACCGGAGCUAAUACCGGAUAAUAUAUUGAACCGCAUGGUUCAAUAGUGAAAGACGGUUUUGCUGUCACUUAUAGAUGGAUCCGCGCCGCAUUAGCUAGUUGGCAAGGUAACGGCUUACCAAGGCAACGAUGCGUAGCCGACCUGAGAGGGUGAUCGGCCACACUGGAACUGAGACACGGUCCAGACUCCUACGGGAGGCAGCAGUAGGGAAUCUUCCGCAAUGGGCGAAAGCUUGACGGAGCAACGCCGCGUGAGUGAUGAAGGUCUUCGGAUCGUAAAACUCUGUUAUUAGGGAAGAACAAAUGUGUAAGUAACUAUGCACGUCUUGACGGUACCUAAUCAGAAAGCCACGGCUAACUACGUG